rnacentral:rRNA from 1 species
GGCGAACGCUGGCGGCGUGCUUAACACAUGCAAGUCGAACGGAAAGGCCCUGCUUUUGUGGGGUGCUCGAGUGGCGAACGGGUGAGUAACACGUGAGUAACCUGCCCUUGACUUUGGGAUAACUUCAGGAAACUGGGGCUAAUACCGGAUAGGAGCUCCUGCUGCAUGGUGGGGGUUGGAAAGUUUCGGCGGUUGGGGAUGGACUCGCGGCUUAUCAGCUUGUUGGUGGGGUAGUGGCUUACCAAGGCUUUGACGGGUAGCCGGCCUGAGAGGGUGACCGGCCACAUUGGGACUGAGAUACGGCCCAGACUCCUACGGGAGGCAGCAGUGGGGAAUAUUGCACAAUGGGCGGAAGCCUGAUGCAGCAACGCCGCGUGCGGGAAGACGGCCUUCGGGUUGUAAACCGCUUUCGCCUGUGACGAAGCGUGAGUGACGGUAAUGGGUAAAGAAGCACCGGCUAACUACGUG